AGUGAACGCUGGCGGCGUGCCUAACACAUGCAAGUCGUGCGAGAAAGGGAGCAAUCCUGAGUAAAGCGGCGAACGGGUGAGUAACACGUGGUUAACCUGCCUGGAUGUGGGGGAUACCCCGGGGAAACCCGGGACAAUACCGCAUGAUGUCUCUCGGGCGUCGGCCUGGGAGAGCAAAGCCGGGGACCGCAAGGCCUGGCGCAUCCAGAGGGGACCGCGGCCGAUUAGCUAGUUGGCGGGGUAAUGGCCCACCAAGGCAUCGAUCGGUAGCCGGCCUGAGAGGGUGAACGGCCACACCGGAACUGAGACACGGUCCGGACUCCUACGGGAGGCAGCAGUGGGGAAUUUUGCGCAAUGGGCGAAAGCCUGACGCAGCAACGCCGCGUGGAGGAUGAAGAUCUUCGGGUUGUAAACUCCUUUCGAUCGAGACGAAUGGCCCUUGGGCUAACAUCCUGAGGGAGUGACGGUACCGAGAGAAGAAGCCCCGGCUAACUCCGUGCCAGCAGCCGCGGUAAU
rnacentral:rRNA from 1 species